CAUUGUCAUGAGCAGCCUCAAGCUCUGGUUUCUUUCCCUAGCCGACGAUGCCUGUUCGAGGGAGGUUAGGACAGCAACACUGAUGGCCAGUAGCAUUCAUCCGAGAGGAGUUUAUGGAAUUGGAUUAAUUCUUGAAGGCAGUGGCUUCGCUUGG